UGGGGAAUAUUGGACAAUGGGCGCAAGCCUGAUCCAGCCAUGCCGCGUGAGUGAUGAAGGCCCUAGGGUUGUAAAGCUCUUUCACCGGUGAAGAUAAUGACGGUAACCGGAGAGGAAGCCCCGGCUAACUUCGUGCCAGCAGCCGCGGUAAUACGAAGGGGGCUAGCGUUGUUCGGAUUUACUGGGCGUAAAGCGCACGUAGGCGGACUUUUAAGUCAGGGGUGAAAUCCCGGGGCUCAACCCCGGAACUGCCUUUGAUACUGGAAGUCUUGAGUAUGGUAGAGGUGAGUGGAAUUCCGGGUGUAGAGGUGAAAUUCGUAGAUAUUCGGAGGAACACCAGUGGCGAAGGCGGCUCACUGGACCAUUACUGACGCUGAGGUGCGAAAGCGUGGGGAGCAAACAGG
rnacentral:rRNA from 1 species